rnacentral:rRNA from 1 species
AAUGAAAGUAGCGAACGGGUGAGUAACACGUGAGAAACCUGCCUUUCACAAAGGGAUAGCCUCGGGAAACCGGGAUUAAUACCUUAUGAUACAUGAGUAUCGCAUGAAACCCAUGUUAAAGAUUUUAUCGGUGAUAGAUGGUCUCGCGUCUGAUUAGCUAGUUGGUAGGGUAAAGGCCUACCAAGGCGAUGAUCAGUAGCCGGAUUGAGAGGUUGAACGGCCACACUGGAACUGAGACACGGUCCAG